GAAAAAGCAAAGAUGGGAAGAUGUUAAAGUAGCGCAAAUAGAGACUUAGUGGCUGGUGGAAACUAAGAGUUAAGCUUUAAGAGAUGGCCCCGGAGCUGUUAUCUUGAAUAGUUAAAGAUAAACGUCUAACUUGCGUUAAAAGUUUAGAGUGGCACAGUAAUGUGUAAAAAAGGUGGUACCGCGAUUAUUUCGUCCUUUUA
rfam:Clostridium spiroforme DSM 1552 Scfld_02_11 genomic scaffold, whole genome shotgun sequence.